UACAGAGGUCUCAAGCGUUGUUCGGAAUCACUGGGCGUAAAGGGUGCGUAGGCCGCAUGGUAAGUCAGGUGUGAAAGCCCGGAGCUCAACUCCGGAACUGCACCCGAUACUGCCGUGCUUGAGGACUGGAGAGGAGUCUGGAAUUCACAGUGGAGCAGUGAAAUGCGUAGAUAUUGUGAGGAACACUAGUGGCGAAGGCGAGACUCUGGACAGUUCCUGACGCUGAGGCACGAAGGCCAGGGGAGCAAACGGG
rnacentral:rRNA from 1 species